rnacentral:rRNA from 1 species
CAGCCGCCGCGGGAAUACGAAGGGUGCAAGCGUUACUCGGAAUUACUGGGCGUAAAGCGUGCGUAGGUGGUGGUUUAAGUCCGUUGUGAAAGCCCUGGGCUCAACCUGGGAAUUGCAGUGGAUACUGGAUCACUAGAGUGUGGUAGAGGAUAGUGGAAUUUCCGGUGUAGCAGUGAAAUGCGUAGAGAUCGGAAGGAACAUCUGUGGCGAAGGCGACUAUCUGGGCCAACACUGACACUGAGGCACGAAAGUGUGGGGAGCAAACAGGAUUAGAGACCCCUGUAGUCCCUGUCUCUUAUAC